GACGAACGCUGGCGGCGUGCCUAACACAUGCAAGUCGAGCGAGUGAAUCUCCUUCGGGAGUGAAGCUAGCGGCGGACGGGUGAGUAACACGUGGGCAACCUGCCUCAUAGAGGGGAAUAGCCUUUCGAAAGGAAGAUUAAUACCGCAUAAGAUUGUAGCUUCGCAUGAAGUAGCAAUUAAAGGAGCAAUCCGCUAUGAGAUGGGCCCGCGGCGCAUUAGCUAGUUGGUGAGGUAACGGCUCACCAAGGCGACGAUGCGUAGCCGACCUGAGAGGGUGAUCGGCCACAUUGGGACUGAGACACGGCCCAGACUCCUACGGGAGGCAGCAGUGGGGAAUAUUGCACAAUGGGGGAAACCCUGAUGCAGCAACGCCGCGUGAGUGAUGACGGCCCUCGGGUUGUAAAGCUCUGUCUUCAGGGACGAUAAUGACGGUACCUGCAGAAGAAGGACCGGCCAACUACGUGCCAGCCGCCGCAGUAA
rnacentral:rRNA from 1 species